GGAAAUGCUGGUGGAGGCCAAAUCAAAUAAACAACCGUGACCAAAGAAACAACUGUCCAGGGCAUUUGGGAUCAUCGUGCCGGAGCCCAUAGCUGAAAUGCCGUUGGCGACAUAGACGAUUACCCAUAAAAGACUAGCCGUUGGGAGAAUGACAACGGGAAGGAGAAUUUAAAUUUUGAUUGAGACCAGAAAAAAAGCAUUUGAAAUUAAGAUAAAUAUAAACAUUUCAGUUUCAUUCGGUUACAGACAUUCUUUCUUUAUCUGAUUGCCUCUUUCUGUUGAUGUUCUGUUCUGUGAUUGUCCCUUUCUGUCAAUCUUCUGUUCUCUGAUUGCCCCUUUCGGUCAAUUUUCUAUUCUUUCUCUAUAUUUUGUUCACUUUUUUUUGAAGUGCUUGCUUUGUUUUCAUUUUUCAUUUUCUUGUGUGCAGCGUGCACGCUGGUCUGUAUUUUUUUGGUCUGUCUGUCUAUUUUUUUUGGUGUUACAUUUUCCUGUCAGAGGAGAGGAAAGGCAGAGCAGAGGAAGAGGCAGAGCAACCGAGGGCAAAAUCUUCUUCCAGGCAUGAGAUGCAGGGUCCAGCAAGAGUUAAUAUAACCGAUGAAGAGAAGAAGAGACGGGAUGUUUCUUAUGACCUGAUUCCUAGAUCACAAGUAGCUGCUAUAGAAGGAAACCAUAUUUUCAAAACAGCUAACCCAGUGUUUGACUUUUCUGUGUUCUCAGGCAAUGAGUUGAUCUUCAGCUGCACAGCUAACCCAUUUGGAUUUGCCAAGCACAAAUCCUAUGGAGAGGUUCUGUUCAACUCCUUGUAUGGCAGCUUAGUUUUCAAUAUCUGAUAUGAAAUUUUUUGAGGGAAUGGCUAUGUUAUCUGCACCAUGAUGGUAAUCCUCUGGUUGUGCAUGGAGAUGAGCACCAGUGUACUAAUGGACAGUCAUAUGGAGGCUCAGAUGGCUGAUUUUGGUUAGGCAAACUCAUGCAGAGGGAAGCCACCAUGUGCUCUAGCGCAUACACUGCA